rnacentral:rRNA from 1 species
GCUGGCCCUUUUGGGGGUAUGUGCACACUUGUACAUUUUUAUUUCUCCAAAUGUGCACACAUUGUAGACCUGGAGAGUUUUGAUUCACUCGAGUUGGGACUGCUGUGCUUUCAGUUUACUUUUUGUGAAAGUCGGCUUUCCCUUUUCAUUUUUCUGGUCUAUGUUAUUUUCACAAACCUCUGAAUGUGAUUAGAAUGUUGAAUUUUAUAAAGUUAUACAACUUUCAGCAACGGAUCUCUUGGCUCUCGCAUCGAUGAAGAACGCAGCGAAAUGCGAUAAGUAAUGUGAAUUGCAGAAUUCAGUGAAUCAUCGAAUCUUUGAAUGCAUCUUGCGCUCCUUGGUAUUCCUAGGAGCAUGCCUGUUUGAGUGUCAUUCAAAUUCUCAACCACAUCAAUUUCUGGUGUUGGAUUGGAUGUGGGGCUUGCUGGCUUCUUCUUUACAUCUUGAAGUCUGCUCCCCUGAAAUGAAUUAGUAGUAUCUGAGCAGACUUACAGGUGUGAUAAACUAUCUACGCCUCUAGUUAUGCUGCAUAAAUAGAUUGCACUGCUUCCAACAAAAAAAGCUUUUGAUGAAUUGACCU